UCUGGGCAUAUAAAUAAAGAAAAUGACGUUGGCAUUCCAAACAACACCUUCCAUGAAACUAAUCAUUAAGUAGCCAAGACAAGGAAUCUGUGAAGAUUAGCCCAGGAUGAGUGCAUCAGAAGAAUAUGCAGUCUGUGUCCAUGAUGGAAUAUCCUUCAUCUUUAGAGAAGAAUGGAACCCUGCCUUUUAAAACAAAGUAGAUACAACGGAAGCCAUUCAGUGACGUGAUCCAUACACAAUAAGACUGAUGUCUUCUCUCUCAUAUGGGAAGGCCACAAGAAUCAAGGUUCAACACUGAUUGACAGGAACUGAAUCAUCAAGUCAGGCAUUUGUUAUUUGUGCUCCUGCUUUUCACUCCUCUCAGAUCUCCGCUGAGGUCCUCGACAACCCAGAGAGACCAUAAUCCCUACAUGAGCCACUCUUAGCUCUCCCAGGCUCAGCUGUUUCUGCAACUGAUUUCCUAUCUUGGAAUGUCAAGUGCCACUCCCUGCCCAGCCUGUCUCCUGCUGGGAUGUAUUAGCAGAGACUGGAGUUCUGGAGGAUGAAGAUCCAUGUCAAGAUGUGCUUGUUUACAACAUACUGAUA